ACUCUUGGGAUGGGACCCUGCGGUGCAUUAGCUAGUUGGUUGGGUAACGGCCUACCAAGGCGAUGAUGCAUAGCCGAGUUGAGAGACUGAUCGGCCACAUGGGACUGAGACACGGCCCAAACUCCUACGGGAGGCAGCAGUAGGGAAUCUUCCACAAUGGACGCAAGUCUGAUGGAGCAACGCCGCGUGAGUGAAGAAGGGUUUCGGCUCGUAAAGCUCUGUUGUUGGUGAAGAAGGACAGGGGUAGUAACUGACCUUUGUUUGACGGUAAUCAAUUAGAAAGUCACGGCUAACUACGUGCCAGCAGCGGUAAU
rnacentral:rRNA from 1 species